rnacentral:rRNA from 1 species
AGAGUUUGAUCCUGGCUCAUGGACGAACGCUGGCGGCGUGCCUAACACAUGCAAGUCGAGCGAGGAGAGUCCUUCGGGGCUGAGCCGAGCGGCGGACGGGUGCGUAACACGUGAGCAACCUGUCUCCGUGCGGGGGAUAACCCGGGGAAACUCGGGCUAAUACCGCAUGGUCGGACCUCUCGCCUGGGGGGUUCGGGAAAGAUGGCCUCUUAACAAUGCUAUCGUGCGGAGAGGGGCUCGCGGGCUAUCAGCUGGUUGGUGAGGUAAUGGCUCACCAAGGCGACGACGGCUAGGGGGUCUGAGAGGACGACCCCCCACAUUGGAACUGAGACACGGUCCAGACUCCUACGGGAGGCAGCAGUGGGGAAUUUUGGGCAAUGGCCGAAAGGCUGACCCACCGACGCCGCGUGCGGGAGGACGCCCUUCGGGGUGUAAACCGCUGUCAGAGGGGACGAAAGGCCGGGGUGGGAAUACUGCCCUGGAGUGACGGUACCCUCAGAGGAAGCACCGGCUAACUCUGUG